CGUAAAGAGCUCGUAGGUGGUUUGUCGCGUUGUUCGUGAAAUCUCACGGCUUAACUGUGAGCGUGCGGGCGAUACGGGCAGACUUGAGUACUGCAGGGGAGACUGGAAUUCCUGGUGUAGCGGUGGAAUGCGCAGAUAUCAGGAGGAACACCGGUGGCGAAGGCGGGUCUCUGGGCAGUAACUGACGCUGAGGAGCGAAAGCGUGGGGAGCGAACAGGAUUAGAUACCCUGGUAGUCCACGUCGUAAACGGUGGGUACUAGGUGUGGGUUUCCUUCCUUGGGAUCCGUGCCGUAGCUAACGCAUUAAGUACCCCGCCUGGGGAGUACGGCCGCAAGGCUAAAACUCAAAGAAAUUGACGGGGGCCCGCACAAGCGGCGGAGCAUGUGGAUUAAUUCGAUGCAACGCGAAGAACCUUACCUGGGUUUGACAUGCACAGGACGCCGGCAGAGAUGUCGGUUCCCUUGUGGCCUGUGUGCAGGUGGUGCAUGGCUGUCGUCAGCUCGUGUCGUGAGAUGUUGGGUUAAGUCCCGCAACGAGCGCAACCCUUGUCUCAUGUUGCCAGCGGGUAAUGCCGGGGACUCGUGAGAGACUGCCGGGGUCAACUCGGAGGAAGGUGGGGAUGACGUCAAGUCAUCAUGCCCCUUAUGUCCAGGGCUUCACACAUGCUACAAUGGCCGGUACAAAGGGCUGCGAUGCCGCGAGGUUAAGCGAAUCCUUUUAAAGCCGGUCUCAGUUCGGAUCGGGGUCUGCAACUCGACCCCGUGAAGUCGGAGUCGCUAGUAAUCG
rnacentral:rRNA from 1 species